AUUGAACGCUGGCGGCAGGCCUAACACAUGCAAGUCGAGCGGAUGAAGGGAGCUUGCUCCUGGAUUCAGUUGCGGACGGGUGAGUAAUGCCUAGGAAUCUGCCUGGUAGUGGGGGAUAACGUCCGGAAAGGGGCGCUAAUACCGCAUACGUCCUGAGGUAGAAAGUGGGGGAUCUUCGGACCUCACGCUAUCAGAUGAGCCUACGUCGGAUUAGCUAGUUGGUGGGGUAAAGGCCUACCAAGGCGACGAUCCGUAACUGGUCUGAGAGGAUGAUCAGUCACACUGGAACUGAGACACGGUCCAGACUCCUACGGGAGGUAGCAGUGGGGAAUAUUGCACAAUGGGCGAAAGCCUGAUCCAGCCACGCCGCGUGUGUGAAGAAGGUCUUCGGAUUGUAGAGCACUUUUAGUUGGGAGGAAGGGCAGUAAGUUAAUACCUGGCUGUUUUGACGUUACCAACAGAAUAAGCACCGGCUAACUUCGUG
rnacentral:rRNA from 1 species